rnacentral:rRNA from 1 species
GGCAUGCUUAACACAUGCAAGUCGCACGAAGGUUUCGGCCUUAGUGGCGGACGGUUGAGUAACGCGUAGGAAUCUAUCCGUGGGUGGGGGAUAACUCUGGGAAACUGGAGCUAAUACCGCAUGACACCUGAGGGUCAAAGGCGCAAGUCGCCUGCGGAGGAGCCUGCGUUUGAUUAGCUUGUUGGUGGGGUAAUGGCCUACCAAGGCGAUGAUCAAUAGCUGGUCUGAGAG